rnacentral:rRNA from 1 species
AGGACGAACGCUGGCGGCGUGCUUAACACAUGCAAGUCGAACGGUAAGGCCCUUCGGGGUACACGAGUGGCGAACGGGUGAGUAACACGUGGGUGAUCUGCCCUGCACUUCGGGAUAAGCCUGGGAAACUGGGUCUAAUACCGGAUAGGACCAUGGACUUCACGGUUUGUGGUGGAAAGCUUUUGCGGUGUGGGAUGGGCCCGCGGCCUAUCAGCUUGUUGGUGGGGUAAUGGCCUACCAAGGCGACGACGGGUAGCCGGCCUGAGAGGGUGUCCGGCCACAUUGGGACUGAGAUACGGCCCAGACUCCUACGGGAGGCAGCAGUGGGGAAUAUUGCACAAUGGGCGCAAGCCUGAUGCAGCGACGCCGCGUGAGGGAUGACGGCCUUCGGGUUGUAAACCUCUUUCAAUAGGGACGAAGCGCAAGUGACGGUACCUAUAGAAGAAGCACCGGCCAACUACGUG